CCCUUAGAUGUCCGGGGCUGCACGCGCGCUACACUGGAGGAAUCAGCAUGCCUUCAUACCUUGCCCGAAAGGGCUGGGUAACCCGCUGAAACUCCUCCGUGAUUGGGAUAGGGAGUUGCAAUUAUUUCCCUUGAACGAGGAAUUCCUAGUAAGCACGGGUCAUAAGCUCGUACUGAUUACGUCCCUGCCCUUUGUACACACCGCCCGUCGCUACUACCGACUGGCCAUUUAUCUAAAGCGUGUGGACUCGAGCCUGUUGGCAUUCGCGUGUCAGUUGGUUUGAAAAAGCACGUUGCAGGUCUGUGGCUGGAGGAAGUAAAAGUCGUAACA
rnacentral:rRNA from 1 species